rnacentral:rRNA from 1 species
UACGUAGGGGGCAAGCGUUGUCCGGAAUUAUUGGGCGUAAAGAGCGCGUAGGCGGUCCGAUAAGUCGGCUGUGAAAGUCAGGGGCUCAACCCUUGAAAGCCGGCCGAUACUGUCGGACUAGAGUCCGGAAGAGGCAAGUGGAAUUCCCGGUGUAGCGGUGAAAUGCGCAGAUAUCGGGAGGAACACCAGUGGCGAAGGCGGCUCACUGGACCGGAACUGACGCUGAGGCGCGAAAGCGUGGGGAGCAAACAGG